UUAUAUGCACCCUGUAGAAUCGAAUUUGUGUGAGUUCUGAACCACAGAUUCGUCUCUAGGGGGGUAUAUGGG
rfam:Xenopus tropicalis strain Nigerian Chr02_contig_3613, whole genome shotgun sequence.